rnacentral:lncRNA from 1 species
UGGCUUCAGUGUUGACAAAUGUAGUUAGUUUUUUGUUUUUUUAAAAUACCUAAUCCAGGCAAAAAAUAAUGGGGGUUUGGUUACAUUAUAUGAUCAUGCAUUGCAUAAGGGCCCUAUUUAGCCUUGUACUGCAGAGAGCUCUAAAUUGAAUUUCCCCCCCAAGUAAGUAGCUCAUGAAGCAGACACUAGGCUGGUAGUGUAGGACAUGCCAAAGAUGGGGUACAUUGAAGUUGUGGCAGGCUUAUGCAAUGUAUGAUCAUAUAAUGUAACUAAACCCCCAUUAUUUUUUGCCUGGAUUAGGUGUUUUUACAAAAACUAAGUAAAUCUUCCAGCAUUGAAGUUGCUGUUUAGGGUAUAAUGGAGUGCACUGGACUUUCUGUUUUUAUUGUACAAACUGGCUCCCAGCAGCACCCUACUUAUGCAUAUUCAGGUGAGUGCAGCCAGCCCCCUGUUUUCUGAUAGGAUCUGUAUCUUGUCUGGUCAGGACAAACUGUCAAAUAUACUUAACAGCUUCUUCUCAUCCUCCGCAAUAUCGGUCUACAAGAUAUUGCUCUCUCCUGGUGCUCCUCCUACCUUUCCCAGCUCUCUUUCAGUGUUUCUUUCUCUGGCUCUGCUUCUUCUCCCCAACUCCUCUCUGUUGGUAUCCCCCAAGGUUCAGUCCUUGGUCCUCUAGUGUUCUCCAUCUAUACUGCCUCCCUUGGUAAACUCAUUAGCUACUUUGGCUUCCAAUAUAAUUUCUAUGCAGAUGACACGAAAAUCUACCUGUCCUCUCCUGAUCUCUCCCCGUCCCUCUUGACUAGUGUCUCUGACUGCCUCUCUGCUAUUUCUAACUGGAUGGCUGCCCACUUCCUAAAACUCAACUUGACCAAACUUGAAAUUCUGGUUUUUCCUCCCUCAAGUGUUUCUACUCUUCUGUCUGUCUUCCUCCAAGUCAACGGUGCUACUAUCCGCUCCACCACGCAGGCUUGCUGCCUAGGUGUUCUCUUUGACUCAGACCUCUCCUUCACGCCUCAUGUUCAGUCUAUUGCCAAAUCCUGCCGCUUCCAUCUCAAAAACAUUGCGCACAUCCGUCCCUACUUGAUGCCAGAUGUGACUAAGGUGCCGGUCCAUUCCACUGUCCUUUCUCACCUUGACUAUUGUAAUGCGCUUCUCAGUGGUCUUACAUGCUCCCAACUUGCACUGUUACCGUCCAUAAUGAAUGCGGUAGCCAGGCUCAUCUUCCUGUCCGCCUGCACCUCCCAUGCCUUACCCUUUUGUCAGUCCCUACAUUGGCUUCCUGUAAGAUAUAGGGCUCAAUUUAAAAUUCUGGUUCUUGUUUUCAAAUCUCUACAUAAUGCUGCUCCCACCUAUCUAUCCUCCCUAAUAGACAAGUAUGUCCAGUCUAGGCCCUUACGCUCUGCUGAAGACUUACGUCUAUCUUCUGUCCGUACUCCCAGCUCUGAUGCUCACCUUCAAGACUUCUCAAGGGCUGCACCGUUCCUGUGGAACUCCCUUCCCUCCUCCGUUAGAUGCUCACCCAGUCUCCACUCCUUCAAAAAAUCGUUAAAAACCCACUUCUUCAUAAAAGUGUAUCAAUUAAACUGUUAAUAGCUCCCGACUGAUUCCUCUCUUGCAACUGUC